rnacentral:lncRNA from 1 species
UGGGGGUGACAAAGAAAUUUUUUUUUAAAUUUUUACGUUUUUCUUUGAUUUUUUUCUUUAUCUUUUAUGUGCUUGAGCUUGUAGAAAUACAAGUGAUUGGUUAUGAGCAUGUACAUAGGUUGCUUGUGUGCACAAAUAAAUUUAGCAUGAUGUUAAGUGAUUUUAAAUUUUUUAUUAAUAAACUACUAAGUUUUAUGUGUUAC